AAUAAAUAAAUAAAGAGUUUGGGUCAUUCAGGGUACAUCUGUGCGUGUGCCCCUGCUGCCAUCUACUGGACAUCCUUUAUUAAACAUAAAGAAGAAGUAGAGGAAACUUACUGAUAAGACCUCACCAAUGAAUAGCCACAAAAUGGUUUUAUGACCUUAUUUGGUAACAUUCCAAGGCGGUGAGCUCAUUAUUAGGAGCCUUUUAUAAUCUUGUGUAUUUCCGGUUUUGGGCAGAGACUCCGGUGCUUUUUGACGGUGUUCUCUCCAAUUCUGCAGAAUUGUAAAAAUAAAACUUCUUUCGCAGAGCACUCUUUGUCUCUUGUUUGGUUGUUGGGGCGUAAGGGAAUUUACCCCCCCCCCUUAAAGCCGGUUAACAAUUUGGCACCCCAGAUGGGACUUUAAAUUGCCCUUUUGAGCCGGGCUGUGUUAGUCCCGUUGGGCUCGAGGUGGACAGGCGAGUGGCUUGCGAAAUCGGAGGGCCCCCGUUAUUUUUUUUUAACGGCCGCUUUCUCAGUUGCUGCCUGAUGCCUCGUUCCCAAGAACCCAUUUUGAGGCGCUCCGCGAAAGAAGAGGCAGGUCGACCUCGCGGGACAUCAGAUCUAUCGGAUCCAGGAAAUACAGCAUCAGACUUUGCCGAAGCAGCAGUGCAUCCCUUUCUCCCCAACCCCCAGGACAGUAGGUGUAUGUAAAAAGUGGAACACUAGUCCUCUGGAGGCCAAGUGGGACGGACCAUAUCUAGUCUUGCUGACAACUGAGACUGCAGUCCAAACGAAGGAGGCUGGUUGGACACACCAUACGCGAGUAAAGAAAGCUGCGGUUCCGAACAGCGAGCAGGAGAAGGAAGAAUGGGUUUGCCAAACACCCGACCCGCAGGAGCCCCUAAAAUAAAACUAUGGCGAAAGGGAGGCGGAAGUGGGUUGGGGGUAGACCAAUGGUGUUAAUAUUAAUUCUGUUCAUAAGCUGUUGGGACAUGGCUGUGGGACCAGGAACCGAAGGGAACUCAUGGGUAAGAAACGCACACCACAUGUUUAAGGCGACACUGGUAUAUGAGUCCCCUAUCUCGAUCAGAUUCAUGAGUGUGAUAUCAGGACUUAUUAAUGACACUACACUGAUCGUGGCCUCUUUACAAAGUAUUAGUGCCUCAGGGCAGACAGAGAUUUUGUUCAUAGCGUUCCUACAAACCUGAAUAAGGAAAAAAAAUCAGGUGGUUUUAAAAUAUAUUAGAAAGACAAAGGGCUUGUGUUUCUGUUAUACUUAUAAGGACAAUUGGGUAAAGGGUUUUAAUGAAUCAAAUGAGAGCUUUCAGAAAAUAGGAAACUCUUCACAAUGUGAGGGAGACUUUUGUUUGUCAAAUAAGGACCAAGAAUUGUUUGGGGAAAACGAGAAUAACAUGAUUGGAGAGCUGAAAAAUGUCACAAAGGAUGAGAAAACUCUGGCAGAUAUCGAUUCAGAUUUUCCACUACUACAGACCAAUCACACUGGAUGAAGUAUUUGUGGAUACAUGAUGCUUAAAGACCCUAGUUUAUGUUCUUUUCUUUAUGGGAUGGCCCACCAACUAUCACCCAGGCUGCAAGAGAGGAGCAUGUGUAGAUAUUGGAUCUUUCCCUGGUGCAAGUUAUUGGAACACGAAAGACCCAGACACAAGAGGGAUACAAAAACAAUGAGGGAUGGGGUGAGCGGACCUUUGGGCUCAUCCUGUCAGGAUGAAGUGAUAAUUGAUAAACUGACUUGCAGACUAGAGAAAAGUGUAAAUGCUACCACACAGAUAGUACGAGAGUUACAAGAAGAAAUUGGGAGUUUGCACCAGGUACAGAUGCAACAUCACUUGACAAUUAGCUCUUAGAUUAUCUCCUAGUCAAAGAAGGGGGAGUCUGCAAAAUAGUUAGAUCCGGAUGCAUAGUAGCUUAGCGUGAAAUGAACAAGUCCAUUGGACAUCACUUAGGCCAGGGGAACUGAAGGAGGCAAUAUAAAAGAGUUAUACGGGUAGUUGUUUGUUGCUGUAUACAAUGUAUUCCUGCAGUUUUAAAAGAAAUGGUCAGAAAACAAAGAGAGAGAGAAUCUCUUUUGCCAUUACGUGUGAAUCAAGAUGAAGAAAUGAUAACUGUCAUUUACAAUCCUACUGGCAAAACUUGUUCAAGUAUUUUCGGGGGGAAUUGAUAUAGAAAAGAUAUUCAUAUUGAAUACGUUUUGCUUAUACUGUAUAUUGAGUUCUGCGUUUCAGCAGUCUUGGCAUAACACAUUAGGCUAUGCCUGUGUUUCUUUCUGCCUUUGCUAUGUAACCUCUAAGGAAUUUCUGGUAUGAGAUGGUACCAGGCACCAAAGAUAAGGGAUAGCUGGCUUGCCUUGCAAAGGUAGAG